UGCCAGCAGCCGCGGUAAUACGGAGGGGGCAAGCGUUGUUCGGAAUUACUGGGCGUAAAGGGCGCGUAGGCGGAAUGUCAAGUUAGGGGUGAAAGGCCUGGGCUCAACCUAGGAACUGCCUCUAAAACUGAUGAUCUAGAGUUCGGAAGAGGAUGGUGGAAUUCCCAGUGUAGAGGUGAAAUUCGUAGAUAUUGGGAAGAACACCAGUGGCGAAGGCGGCUACCUGGUCCGGAUCUGACGCUGAGGCGCGAAAGCGUGGGUAGCAAACAGGAUUAGAUA
rnacentral:rRNA from 1 species